UCCUUCCUGCCUUAGUUAUGUGGAUAUAGUGCCUGACUUCCACACAGGAGGUCCAGAGUUCGAGUCUCCAGGUGGAGU